UACGUAGGUGGCAAGCGUUAUCCGGAUUUAUUGGGCGUAAAGGGAACGCAGGCGGUCUUUUAAGUCUGAUGUGAAAGCCUUCGGCUUAACUGGAGUAGUGCAUUGGAAACUGGGUGACUUGAGUGCAGAAGAGGAGAGUGGAACUCCAUGUGUAGCGGUGAAAUGCGUAGAUAUAUGGAAGAACACCAGUGGCGAAAGCGGCUCUCUGGUCUGUAACUGACGCUGAGGUUCGAAAGCGUGGGUAGCAAACAGG
rnacentral:rRNA from 1 species